CGAGGGGCUCGAGAGCAGCAGCCACGGCGGCUGAUCUGUUCGAUGAAGUCGCCUCUGUGUGAUAAGCCAGGAAUCUCCGGCGACCAGGGUUCGCUAGAAUCCAAUACGCCUUCCGCGCGGACGAUUCAGUUCGCAUCAAAGAUUCCAAACGUGGAGGAACGUUCUUCCGAUUCAUGGCACCGCCACACAGAUCCAACUCCCUCCUUCAAGCGGGGACAAGGCCUCGUCCCGUUCGUCGCACAGGGGCUGCUGGCCA
rnacentral:lncRNA from 1 species